AACGUAAUGCAGGGGAACUCGCAUGUGGUUCGCGAGUUGAGAAAGGCCUAAGCCUGACCCUUAGAACCUGUUGGUUAAGACCAUCGUAGGGAGCAGUAAUGAGCAGUAG
rnacentral:ncRNA from 2 species